rnacentral:rRNA from 1 species
CCUACGGGUGGCUGCAGUGGGGAAUCUUGGACAAUGGGGGCAACCCUGAUCCAGCGAUGCCGCGUGAGUGAAGAAGGCCCUCGGGUCGUAAAGCUCUUUAGGUUGGGACGAAGGUUAUCUGUGGAUAAUACGGGUAAUUUGACGGUACUAACAGAAUAAGCACCGGCAAACUCUGUGCCAGCAGCCGCGGUAAUACAGAGGGUGCAAGCGUUAAUCGGAGUUACUGGGCGUAAAGGGCGCGUAGGCGGUUUAUUGGGUGUGAUGUGAAAGCCUUG